rnacentral:rRNA from 1 species
UACAGAGGGGGCAAGCGUUGUUCGGAAUUACUGGGCGUAAAGGGCGCGUAGGCGGCCUUCUAAGUCGAACGUGAAAUCCCCGGGCUCAACCCGGGAACUGCGUCCGAUACUGGAAGGCUUGAAUCCGGGAGAGGUGAGUGGAACUGCGAGUGUAGAGGUGAAAUUCGUAGAUAUUCGCAAGAACACCAGUGGCGAAGGCGGACCCACUGGCCCGAUACUGACGCUGAGGUGCGAAAGCGUGGGGAGCAAACAGGG